UCGCGGCUUAUCACCGGCAGUCCCCUUAGAGUGCCCAACUGAAUGAUGGCAACUAAGGGCGAGGGUUGCGCUCGUUGCGGGACUUAACCCAACAUCUCACGACACGAGCUGACGACAGCCAUGCAGCACCUGAACCAGAGGUCCCCGAAGGGAAGACCCUAUUUCUAGGGCUGUCCGAUGUUGUCUAGCCCAGGUAAGGUUCUUCGCGUUGCGUCGAAUUAAACCACAUGCUCCACCGCUUGUGCGGGCCCCCGUCAAUUCCUUUGAGUUUCAGCCCUGCGACCGUACUCCCCAGGCGGGGCACUUAAUGCGUUAGCUUCGGCACUGCAGGGGUCGAUACCCGCAACACCAAGUGCCCAUCGUUUACAGCUAGGACUAC
rnacentral:misc_RNA from 1 species